GGCCCUAUCGUCUAUCGGUUAGGACAUUUGCUUUUCAAGCAAAGAAGGCGAGUUCGACUCUCGCUAGGGCUG
rnacentral:tRNA from 2 species